rnacentral:lncRNA from 10 species
ACUCAGAAGCUGCCUUGAAGAAAGGGUCUACCCAGCAUGGUGCGUGGAGCCUAAGCAGUCAGUACUUCAGGACUUCACCCGGCCCCUUUCCAAUAACUGCUGCUGUCGCCCUCACAGGAUGUCACCUUCAGCGUCUGAAAGCUGGGUUUGAUGCGUCUGGAAAGGCGUCCCUGACAGGCGUCGUUGCCAGGAGCCCCUAGUGCCACCAGCAGCCAGCAGGGGAGGGCGUCCUCUGCCCGCUCACUUCUGACCCUUCUCUCGUUGCACCCGGAACAUGGUGCAGCUGGGAGCAGCCUGGGCUGCGCGGAAGGCUCAGAUUUGGGGACGGCCCUUGCCAGUGACUGUGAGCUGGGGUGUCUUGGAAACUCCCAGUCUCAGCUUCUCCAUUUAUAAGAUGAGAAUGAUCAUACCAGACUCAGGCAAGGUUGUUUGUGCAUUAGUGAAAUCAGACGUAUUAAAUAAAGUACCACAUUGAUCGUGGAGUUGUUGAAUAACCAAGAACACGCCUAUCUGUCUCCAAAAAAUAAAUGUUGAAAAUGA